CGUAGGGUGCAAGCGUUAAUCGGAAUUACUGGGCGUAAAGCGUGCGCAGGCGGUUAUGUAAGACAGAGGUGAAAUCCCCGGGCUCAACCUGGGAACUGCCUUUGUGACUGCAUAGCUAGAGUACGGCAGAGGGGGGAUGGAAUUCCGCGUGUAGCAGUGAAAUGCGUAGAUAUGCGGAGGAACACCGAUGGCGAAGGCAAUCCCCUGGGCCUGUACUGACGCUCAUGCACGAAAGCGUGGGGAGCAAACAGGAUUAGAUACCCUGGUAGUCCACGCCCUAAACGAUGUCAACUGGUUGUUGGGUCUUCACUGACUCAGUAACGAAGCUAACGCGUGAAGUUGACCGCCUGGGGAGUACGGCCGCAAGGUUG
rnacentral:rRNA from 1 species